CACGUAGGGGGCAAGCGUUGUCUGGAUUUAUUGGGCGUAAAGAGCUCGUAGGCGGUUCGGUAAGUCGGGUGUGAAACCUCCAGGCUCAACCUGGAGACGCCACCCGAUACUGCUGUGACUAGAGUCCGGUAGGGGAGCGUGGAAUUCCUGGUGUAGCGGUGAAAUGCGCAGAUAUCAGGAGGAACACCAGCGGCGAAGGCGGCGCUCUGGGCCGGAACUGACGCUGAGGAGCGAAAGCGUGGGGAGCAAACAGG
rnacentral:rRNA from 1 species